GGGGAAGAAAUCCCUGAAAUUUCUGAGCACACCUUGCUUUUUAUGCUGAAGCCUUUCCCCUUUCAAAGACAACUCUUGGCCUCUCCAACUCCCUGCUUCGCUUUCUAAGCUCCCACGAGGUAUGUGGAUGGCAGGUAGGUGUGACAGCGAGAGGCAUCAGUGUAAUCAUUAAGAUGGUAAUGUCUCCUGCCAGCUCUUCCUUCCCUCAGAGUCACUCCAGUGUCCUGAAUGCACAGGGGGCAUGGAGGAGCAAUGAGGCAGGGCUUCAUCAGUAGCUGUCAAAUGCAGAAAUAAAUAACUUCAAGUAAUGUAACCUCA